rnacentral:rRNA from 1 species
AUUGAACGCUGGCGGCAUGCUUUACACAUGCAAGUCGAACGGUAACAGGCCUUCGGGUGCUGACGAGUGGCGAACGGGUGAGUAAUGCAUCGGAACGUACCCAGAGGUGGGGGAUAACGCAGCGAAAGCUGUGCUAAUACCGCAUGUGAUCUGAGGAUGAAAGCGGGGGACCGAGCAGCAAUGUUUGGCCUCGCGCCUUUGGAGCGGCCGAUGUCGGAUUAGCUAGUUGGUGGGGUAAAGGCCUACCAAGGCGACGAUCCGUAGCUGGUCUGAGAGGACGACCGGCCACACUGGGACUGAGACACGGCCCAGACUCCUACGGGAGGCAGCAGUGGGGAAUUUGGGACAAUGGGCGCAAGCCUGAUCCAGCAAUGCCGCGUGCGGGAAGAAGGCCUUCGGGUUGUAAACCGCUUUUGGCAGGAACGAAACGGUGUCCGCUAAUACCGGGCGCUAAUGACGGUACCUGCAGAAUAAGCACCGGCUAACUACGUG